rnacentral:rRNA from 1 species
CUCUCGGCAACGGAUAUCUCGGCUCUCGCAUCGAUGAAGAACGUAGCGAAAUGCGAUACCUGGUGUGAAUUGCAGAAUCCCGUGAACCGUCGAGUCUUUGAACGCAAGUUGCGCCCGAGGCCAUCCGGCUAAGGGCACGCCUGCCUGGGCGUCAC